GGGACGAUGGCGCAUCUGGGAGCGCGUCAGACUGAAGUACCAACUUCGGCCACAGAACAGUUGUUCUAGUAAUCUGAAGGUGGCCGGUUCAAGCCCGGCUCGUCCCA
rnacentral:tRNA from 1 species